rnacentral:rRNA from 1 species
UGUUUCGGCAAGGGGGUCAUCCCGACUUACCAACCCGAUGCAAACUGCGAAUACCGGAGAAUGUUAUCACGGGAGACACACGGCGGGUGCUAACGUCCGUCGUGAAGAGGGAAACAACCCAGACCGCCAGCUAAGGUCCCAAAGUCAUGGUUAAGUGGGAAACGAUGUGGGAAGGCCCAGACAGCCAGGAUGUUGGCUUAGAAGCAGCCAUCAUUUAAAGAAAGCGUAAUAGCUCACUGGUCGAGUCGGCCUGCGCGGAAGAUGUAACGGGGCUAAACCAUGCACCGAAGCUGCGGCAGCGACGCUUAUGCGUUGUUGGGUAGGGGAGCGUUCUGUAAGCCUGUGAAGGUGUGCUGUGAGGCAUGCUGGAGGUAUCAGAAGUGCGAAUGCUGACAUAAGUAACGAUAAAGCGGGUGAAAAGCCCGCUCGCCGGAAGACCAAGGGUUCCUGUCCAACGUUAAUCGGGGCAGGGUGAGUCGACCCCUAAGGCGAGGCCGAAAGGCGUAGUCGAUGGGAAACAGGUUAAUAUUCCUGUACUUGGUGUUACUGCGAAGGGGGGACGGAGAAGGCUAUGUUGGCCGGGCGACGGUUGUCCCGGUUUAAGCGUGUAGGCUGGUUUUCCAGGCAAAUCCGGAAAAUCAAGGCUGAGGCGUGAUGACGAGGCACUACGGUGCUGAAGCAACAAAUGCCCUGCUUCCAGGAAAAGCCUCUAAGCAUCAGGUAACAUCAAAUCGUACCCCAAACCGACACAGGUGGUCAGGUAGAGAAUACCAAGGCGCUUGAGAGAACUCGGGUGAAGGAACUAGGCAAAAUGGUGCCGUAACUUCGGGAGAAGGCACGCUGAUAUGUAGGUGAAGCGACUUGCUCGUGGAGCUGAAAUCAGUCGAAGAUACCAGCUGGCUGCAACUGUUUAUUAAAAACACAGCACUGUGCAAACACGAAAGUGGACGUAUACGGUGUGACGCCUGCCCGGUGCCGGAAGGUUAAUUGAUGGGGUCAGCGCAAGCGAAGCUCUUGAUCGAAGCCCCGGUAAACGGCGGCCGUAACUAUAACGGUCCUAAGGUAGCGAAAUUCCUUGUCGGGUAAGUUCCGACCUGCACGAAUGGCGUAAUGAUGGCCAGGCUGUCUCCACCCGAGACUCAGUGAAAUUGAACUCGCUGUGAAGAUGCAGUGUACCCGCGGCAAGACGGAAAGACCCCGUGAACCUUUACUAUAGCUUGACACUGAACAUUGAGCCUUGAUGUGUAGGAUAGGUGGGAGGCUUUGAAGUGUGGACGCCAGUCUGCAUGGAGCCGACCUUGAAAUACCACCCUUUAAUGUUUGAUGUUCUAACGUUGACCCGUAAUCCGGGUUGCGGACAGUGUCUGGUGGGUAGUUUGACUGGGGCGGUCUCCUCCUAAAGAGUAACGGAGGAGCACGAAGGUUGGCUAAUCCUGGUCGGACAUCAGGAGGUUAGUGCAAUGGCAUAAGCCAGCUUGACUGCGAGCGUGACGGCGCGAGCAGGUGCGAAAGCAGGUCAUAGUGAUCCGGUGGUUCUGAAUGGAAGGGCCAUCGCUCAACGGAUAAAAGGUACUCCGGGGAUAACAGGCUGAUACCGCCCAAGAGUUCAUAUCGACGGCGGUGUUUGGCACCUCGAUGUCGGCUCAUCACAUCCUGGGGCUGAAGUAGGUCCCAAGGGUAUGGCUGUUCGCCAUUUAAAGUGGUACGCGAGCUGGGUUUAGAACGUCGUGAGACAGUUCGGUCCCUAUCUGCCGUGGGCGCUGGAGAACUGAGGGGGGCUGCUCCUAGUACGAGAGGACCGGAGUGGACGCAUCACUGGUGUUCGGGUUGUCAUGCCAAUGGCACUGCCCGGUAGCUAAAUGCGGAAGAGAUAAGUGCUGAAAGCAUCUAAGCACGAAACUUGCCCCGAGAUGAGUUCUCCCUGACUCCUUGAGAGUCCUGAAGGAACGUUGAAGACGACGACGUUGAUAGGCCGGGUGUGUAAGCGCAGCGAUGCGUUGAGCUAACCGGUACUAAUGAACCGUGAGGCUUAACCUUACAAC